UACGUAGGAUCCGAGCGUUGUCCGGAAUCACUGGGCUUAAAGGGUGCGUAGGCGGUUUAGUAAGUAGGGUGUGAAAUGCCAGAGCUCAACUCUGGCACUGCGCUCUAAACUGUUAAACUUGAGUGAGAUAGGGGUGUACGGAACUUCCGGUGGAGCGGUGAAAUGCGUUGAUAUCGGAAGGAACACCGGUGGCGAAAGCGGUACACUGGGUCUUAACUGACGCUGAGGCACGAAAGCUAGGGUAGCGAACGGG
rnacentral:rRNA from 1 species